rnacentral:rRNA from 1 species
CCUACGGGAGGCAGCAGUAAGGAAUAUUGGACAAUGCUCGCAAGAGUGAUCCAGCCAUGCCGCGUGCAGGAAGAAUGCCCUAUGGGUAGUAAACUGCUUUUGAACUAGAGAAAACCCCAGUACGUGUACUGGGCUGAUAGUAUAGUUAGAAUAAGCAUCGGCUAACUUCGUGCCAGCAGCCGCGGUAAGACGAAGGAUGCAAGCGUUAUCCGGAUUCAUUGGGUUUAAAGGGAGCGUAGGUGGACUGAUAAGUCAGUGGUGAAAUCUCCGAGCUUAACUCGGAAAUUGCCAUUGAUACUGUUGGUCUUGAGUACAGUUGCUGUGGGCGGAAUAUGACAUGUAGUGGUGAAAUACAUAGAGAUGUCAUAGAACACCGAUUGCGAAGGCAGCUCACAAAGCUGUAACUGACACUGAGGCUCGAAAGUGCGGGGAUCAAACAGGAUUAGAUACCCUGGUAGUCCGCACCGUAAACGAUGAUUACUCGCUGCUAGGGGGCAACCUUUAGUGGCUUAGCGAAAGCGAUAAGUAAUCCACCUGGGGAGUACGCCGGCAACGGUUGAAACGUCAAAUGAAUUGACCGGNGNGAGAGNGCGAGGCGACGACGAGGGAGAGG